GGUAGCCGUAAGCUGCCGGAGAGCAGGUAGCCUCCUCCAAAACGAGGUGUCGGAGGUUCGAAUCCUUCACGGCCCGCCA
rnacentral:tRNA from 2 species